rnacentral:rRNA from 1 species
CCUACGGGAGGCAGCAGUGGGGAAUCUUGCGCAAUGCUCGUAAGAGUGACGCAGCGACGCCGCGUGAAUGACGAAGGCCUUCGGGUCGUAAAGUUCUUUCGACAGGGAAGAAAAUGCCUAUAAGUAACUGUUUAUGUAUUGACGGUACCUGUAUAAGCAGCCCCGUCUAACUCCGUGCCAGCAGCCGCGGCAAUAUGGAGGGGGCGAGCGUUAGUCGGAAGGACUUGGCGUAACGAGCGCGUAGGCGGGGUUGUAAGUCAUUGGUCAAAGACUAGAGCUCAACUUCAGUAAGGCAAGUGAUACUAUUAUUCUGGAGUAUCAGAGAGGUAUGCAGAAUUCCUGGUGUAGGGGUGAAAUGCGUAGAUAUCAAGAGGAAUACUGAUUGCGAAGGCGACAAGCUGGAUGGAAACUGACGCUGAGGUGCGAAAGCGUGGGUAGCAAACAGGAUUAGAUACCCCAGUAGUC